rnacentral:lncRNA from 1 species
UUUUAUUUUUCCUUCUUUCGAGAAGCACUAACGUGUUCCGCCAGAUCGUUCCAUUGAAAAGUACAUCACUUACGUAGACGGCUUGUCACCACUGCCAAUCUGGGGCCUCCCGCGCGACCUUUCUGCCAUUGACGAAUCAGGAUUCGCUCGCAGAUACGCUAGAGCCAAGAGCUACGCCACAACGUCGUGGGUUUUGAUCAACUCGUUCGAAGAACUCGAGGGCAGUGCCACCUUCCAAGCCCUCCGAGACAUCUCUCCCAAAGCAAUCGCAGUGGGUCCUCUUUUCACCAUGGCCCCCGGCUGCAACAAGGCAAGCUUGUGGAAGGAAGACACCGAGAGUUUAUCCUGGCUCGGCAAGCAAAGUCCCGGCUCGGUUCUCUACAUUUCCUUGGGCAGCAUCGCGACCCUCAGCUUCGAUCAGUUCAAGGAGUUCUCCGAGGGACUGAGGCUUCUCCAGCGUCCGUUUAUCUGGGCCAUCCGACCCAAGUCGGUCGCCGGCAUGGAGCCCGAGUUCCUGGAGCGUUUCAAGGAGGCCGUGAGGAGCUUUGGACUGGUUGUGAGCUGGGCUCCUCAGGUGGACAUCCUCCGCCACCCUUCCACGGCUGGAUUUCUCAGUCACUGCGGCUGGAACUCCAUCCUCGAGAGCGUAGCAUCCGCGGUGCCCAUGCUUUGCUGGCCGUGCGUCGCGGAGCAGAAUCUAAACUGCAAGUUGAUAGUGGAGGACUGGAAGAUCGGUCUCAAGUUCUCGUGCGUGACCAUGCCGGAUCCUCCCGAGGUGAUGGCGAGGGACGAGUUUGUGGAGGUGGUGGAGCGAUUCAUGGGAACUGACAGUGAGCAUUUGAGGAUUAACGUGAAGAAGCUGAGCGAGGAGGCUCGUAGAGCAGUGUCUAGUGGUGGCUCCUCAUAUGAAAACCUGGAGAGAUUUGCUCAAGCAGUGAAAAUUUCCUAAACUUCAAUCCAAAGCUAAGAGAAAACUUCAAAGCAUCUACUCUAUUCAAGAAUAUACUACAGUUCUUUCUCUCUCUCUCUGAAGAUAAGCACGCGCUUUGCGCGUAUAAUGGGUUCCAAGGUCAAUGUUGUCGCAAUUCCUCUCCCAGCUCAAGGCCACAUCUCUCCACUCUUGCAUCUCUGCCAAGCUCUCACUUUCAUCCUUUGGGGGAUGCUAUCUCCAAAACACGCAACCAUGAGGGAAUGUGCUGGACUUUGUUACGUGCAAAAACCCAUGGCUAAUGUGCUAAUGUAGACUCUAAGGUGAUGCUUUAUAUCAGAAACUGAUGUGAGGAGAAGAAACUAAAGAAAAACAAAGAAAAAAUAAUAAUAAGAAAGAGAGUGUAAAGUUCUGGAGUCAAAGGGGAACCACAUGGGGAAACUUGAUAAAAGAAUUAAACACUAAAAAAUGGAAAAACAAAAAGUGAAAAAAACUAAAGAGCAAAGAACAGCUUAAAGAAAUACUAGCAAGAUUGGAAGAGCUCUAGAGGCCAGUUAGAAUGGCCAUUUGUCUCAAGUUGGUCCCUGGCAUAGAGCCCGAGUUCCUGGAGGCUUUCAAGGCUCUCCUUGCAAGUGAUCAGCUUUGGACAGGUUGUGAGCUGGGCUCCUCAACUGGAAAUCCUCCAGCAUCCUUCCACAGGCUGCGAGAGUGUAUCUUCAGCGGUGCCAAUCCUUUGCUGGCCAUGAGUUGCCAAGCAGAAUCUCAACUGCAAGCUUAUAGUGGAAGACUGGAAGAUCGAUCUUAAGUUCCCGCCCAUGAGAGAUCCUCGCAAGGUUUAGAUGUAAUGUGAAGGAGCUCAGCGAGGCUGCUCAGGGAGCAACAGUGAAAGAAGGCAGGAUCUUCAUAUGAAAGUUUGGACAAGUUUGUCAAGUUUCAUAAGGUAACUUAUAUCCAAUGCCGCAGCUGGUGGCAGGAGGAUCAUCGGGCAUGAGGGCGGGGCCAAUGCACAGACAGACCAACCACCAAGAGCACAUAAAGAUGAUACUUGAAAGUGUAUAGGUUGGUGGAAGUGUUAUUUUCCUUCCCAAAGAAAUAGAUGGCGUAAUCAAGAGGAGUAAAACAUUCCUGAAGGAGAACACUAGAUUAAAACAUUUGCAAAACGCACUGAUUCUUAAGCUCAGCCUUGGAGCGAUUUGAAGCUUAUCCAGAAAAGGUAUUGUGAGAAACGGCAGCACCUUCCAGAGCACUCACGAAGUAAGCUUGAAUUUUCUUUGUUCUUCGUCAAUGGGUUCUUCUACUGGUGCCGAGGGGCUCGCUCCUCAUGCAGCGGUUCUUCCCGUUCCAACCCAAGGCCACAUCACUCCAUUCCUCCAUCUCUCCAGAGCGCUGGCGUCGCGAGGCUUCGUCAUAACUUUCAUCAACACGGAGGCCAACCACAGGGACUUGAAGGACAUCGUUUCGCAGGAGGAGAGCUUUGGCUAUGGCGGCGGCAUUCGCUUCGAGACGGUCCCGGGCAUCCAAGCGAGCGACGUCGACUUCGCGGUCCCGGAGAAGCGGGGGAUGUUGUCCGAGGCAGUGAUGGAGAUGCAAGCUCCAGUGGAAAGCUUGCUCAUCAGGAACAUGGCCAGAGACGAUGAUCUCGUUCCUCCGGUCUCGUGCUUCAUCUCGGAUAUGUUCCCGUGGUCCGCGGAAGUAGCAAGAAGGACUGGAAUCCCAGAGGUCAAGUUCUGGACCGCCAGUGCCUCUUGCGUUUUGCUCGAUUGCUCGUUUCCGCGAAUGCUGGAGAAGGGAGACGUUCCAGUCCAAGGUAAAGCUUCUUUCUUCUUUUUUAUUUGUCCUUCACUAACGUGUUCCGCCAGAUCGUUCCAUUGAAAAGUACAUCACUUACGUAGACGGCUUGUCACCACUGCCAAUCUGGGGCCUCCCGCGCGACCUUUCUGCCAUUGACGAAUCAAGAUUCGCUCGCAGAUACGCUAGAGCCAAGAGCUACGCCACAACGUCGUGGGUUUUGGUCAACUCGUUCGAAGAACUCGAGGGCAGUGCCACCUUCCAAGCCCUCCGAGACAUCUCUCCCAAAGCAAUCGCAGUGGGUCCUCUUUUCACCAUGGUCCCCGGCUCCAACAAGGCAAGCUUGUGGAAGGAAGACACCGAGAGUUUAUCCUGGCUCG